UCUGGCUCAGUCACCGAGGCGCAGGGACAAUGAUCUGCCCCCAGGUGAGGAUUAGGCCCAGGCGCUGAUGCUCCUCUCCGCACGUAGCAGCAAGGGGAGAUCAUGCAUCAAAUGAUGAGCUCCAGGUAUCCCGGGCUCCCGCUCAUCUCCCGACCCACCGCCUUUACAAGCCCACAAGGAAACCCUAAUAAAGGUCACGAGAGACCAGCACAGGACAGAGUUGUCCAGGAUCAAAGAAUCCAGCUUCCUGUUGCUGACGCUC